rnacentral:lncRNA from 1 species
CCACAAGGAAUGCUUUCUUUAAAUCUUCUAAAAGAAUACCUAAGUACCUUUCAAGAGAAUGGGAGACCCUACUUGAUCUACAAGGUGGAGGAGGUAUCACAUCUACUGCUCAUUACUGAGUUCAGAUUUUUAAACUCGAUACUCUUUAGAGACUUUCUCUUCGAGCUCAAUCUUCCUCCCAUUGCCUCCAUCUUGGAUAAACUCUUUUUCUAAAUAAAUGGCAUGAUGGCUCAUAA